rnacentral:rRNA from 1 species
UACGGAGGGUGCGAGCGUUGUCCGGAAUCAUUGGGCGUAAAGGGCGCGUAGGUGGCUUCUUAAGCGUGCGGUGAAAGCCUGGGGCUCAACCCCGGGUCGGCCGUGCGAACUGGGGGGCUGGAGCACUGGAGAGGCAGGCGGAAUUCCGGGUGUAGCGGUGGAAUGCGUAGAGAUCCGGAAGAACACCGGUGGCGAAGGCGGCCUGCUGGGCAGUUGCUGACACUGAGGCGCGACAGCGUGGGGAGCAAACAGG